UGCGGAAGGAUCAUUAUUGAAAUUAUAGGUGAGGGUUGUAGCUGGCCUCUCGGGGCAUGUGCACGCCCGAGCCCUUAAUCCACACACACCUGUGAACCUAUUGUAAGGGCCCUUAAAAAAGGCCUUUACGUCUUAUCNUCAACCCAUCGUAUGUCUCAUAGAAUGUAAAUAUAUGUCCUCGCCUUAAAAAGCGUUGAUAAACUUAUACAACUUUCAACAACGGAUCUCUUGGCUCUCGCAUCGAUGAAGAACGCAGCGAAAUGCGAUAAGUAAUGUGAAUUGCAGAUUUUCAGUGAAUCAUCGAAUCUUUGAACGCACCUUGCGCUCCUUGGUAUUCCGAGGAGCAUGCCUGUUUGAGUGUCAUUAAAUUCUCAACUCUGAUCGAUUUGUUUCGACUUCGGAGCUUGGAUUUGGAGCGUGCUGGCGUCGGUCGGCUCCUCUUAAAUGCAUCAGCGGAAUCUAACGUUUCGGAUGUCAGUGUGAUAAUCAUGUUGCGCUGUCUGUCUGAUCCGAAAGCCCGCUCAC
rnacentral:rRNA from 1 species